CGCCAGACUCCUACGGGAGGCAGCAGUGGGGAAUAUUGCACAAUGGGGGAAACCCUGAUGCAGCGACGCCGCGUGAGCGAUGAAGUAUUUCGGUAUGUAAAGCUCUAUCAGCAGGGAAGAAGAUGACGGUACCUGACUAAGAAGCCCCGGCUAACUACGUGCCAGCAGCCGCGGUAAUACGUAGGGGGCAAGCGUUAUCCGGAUUUACUGGGUGUAAAGGGAGCGUAGACGGCGAUGCAAGCCAGAUGUGAAAGCCCGGGGCUCAACCCCGGGACUGCAUUUGGAACUGUGUGGCUGGAGUGUCGGAGAGGCAGGCGGAAUUCCUAGUGUAGCGGUGAAAUGCGUAGAUAUUAGGAGGAACACCAGUGGCGAAGGCGGCCUGCUGGACGAUGACUGACGUUGAGGCUCGAAAGCGUGGGGAGCAAACAGGAUUAGAUACCCCCGUA
rnacentral:rRNA from 1 species